AGAGUUUGAUCAUGGCUCAGAACGAACGCUGGCGGCAGGCUUAACACAUGCAAGUCGAACGCCCCGCAAGGGGAGUGGCAGACGGGUGAGUAACGCGUGGGAAUCUACCCUUUUCUACGGGAUAGCUCCGGGAAACUGGAAUUAAUACCGUAUAAGCCCUUCGGGGGAAAGAUUUAUCGGGAAAGGAUGAGCCCGCGUUGGAUUAGCUAGUUGGUGAGGUAACGGCCCACCAAGGCGACGAUCCAUAGCUGGUCUGAGAGGAUGACCAGCCACAUUGGGACUGAGACACGGCCCAAACUCCUACGGGAGGCAGCAGUGGGGAAUAUUGGACAAUGGGCGCAAGCCUGAUCCAGCCAUGCCGCGUGAGUGAUGAAGGCCCUAGGGUUGUAAAGCUCUUUCAGUGGGGACGAUAAUGACGGUACCCACAGAAGAAGCCCCGGCUAACUUCGUGCCAGCAGCCGCGGUAAUACGAAGGGGGCUAGCGUUGUUCGGAAUUACUGGGCGUAAAGCGCACGUAGGCGGAUAUUUAAGUCAGGGGUGAAAUCCCGGGGCUCAACCCCGGAACUGCCUUUGAUACUGGGUAUCUUGAGUGUGGUAGAGGUGAGUGGAAUUGCGAGUGUAGAGGUGAAAUUCGUAGAUAUUCGCAGGAACACCAGUGGCGAAGGCGGCUCACUGGACCACAACUGACGCUGAGGUGCGAAGGCGUGGGGAGCAAACAGGAUUAGAUACCCUGGUAGU
rnacentral:rRNA from 1 species